UUAACUGUUAAAACAAAAAUUGUCAACAUCACAUGUCAAAAUAUACAAAACAAAUAUUCUUGAAUCAAAUUCUAAUACGUGCUCAAGAAGCAUUUUUCCUACUUUGCCUCAUCUGGAAAUUUGAUUCUUGA